CAGGGAGAGCCGCGAACAUCGAUCCCGCACUGUGUGGACGGGUCUAUGACAGGACAGAGACACCCUUUCUUUUUCUGAAUCAAGAAAUAACCGAAGAAGCUUCUUCUCCUGCACUCUUACCGCACCCCCUGUAUGAUUCCUAGGGUAUGUCCACACUACCCGCUGGAUCGGCGGGUAGCAAUCCCUGAACAUGCUCCUGUCGACUCCGGAUCUCCACCAGGGCGAGAGGAGGAAGCAGAGUCAACAGGGGAGCUGCGGCCGUCGAUCCCGUGCUGUGAAGACAAGAGUCCAUUUACUGCACCAGAAGGGACGAAGGAAGCAGCCAUUGAACUGGAGAAGGGGUCCUGACAAAAUAAUUUUGGUCAGACAGUCGAGACCAUGUGGUGAGAAAACUUUGCUUUGAAUUUAACAUAAUUUAUUACAUUAGGCACCAGUUGCAUUUCAUCUUUAUUUUUCUUGCAACCAUUUCAGACUUUUAUGCCUCAU